rnacentral:rRNA from 1 species
UGGGGAAUAUUGCACAAUGGGGGAAACCCUGAUGCAGCGACGCCGCGUGAGCGAAGAAGGUUUUCGAAUCGUAAAGCUCUGUCCUAUGGGAAGAUAAUGACGGUACCAUAGGAGGAAGCCCCGGCUAACUACGUGCCAGCAGCCGCGGUAAUACGUAGGGGGCAAGCGUUGUCCGGAAUCACUGGGCGUAAAGUGUUCGCAGGCGGAAAUGCAAGUCAGUUGUGAAAGGCAGAGGCUCAACCUCUGUAAGCAAUUGAAACUGUAUUUCUUGAGAUGUGGAGAGGCAAGUGGAAUUCCUAGUGUAGCGGUGAAAUGCGUAGAUAUUAGGAAGAAUACCGGUGGCGAAGGCGACUUGCUGGACACAAACUGACGCUGAGGAACGAAAGCGUGGGUAGCAAACAGG